UUGAGGAAGUUAUAUAUUUUGAAUGUGUAACACUGAGGUUGUGUAAAAUUAAAUGUGUUAUUUUUAUAUAUCAAGGGUGUCAGAUUUUAGGGUGUUACAUGCCGCCUAUCUCAGAAAGACCAAAUAGGCCCAAAAAGAUUGUUUUGGAGAAAAAGGUUUAGAAGGACUCACUUUCUUUAGAUGAACAAACAGAAACCCUAUCGUAGCCCUCAUAUUUUGCUGUUUUGAGAAAAUCGAAACCCAAAUCAAAACCUAAAUCCUCUUUAAAUUGUUUAAGCACAGCUAAAGUUUCAGAGGAUGAAGAUUGUUUCUCAGGUGGAUCAAUAUUUUGUUGUGAAGCGACUUCAGAUUCUGAUGUCCAUCAAGGUGAUCUCAUGUUUUUGGAAAACAUGGAGUCCAAUGUGGGAGAUAAAGUGUGGAAGGAAAAUUCCAAUUUAGGACUUAUUCCCAAGGGCAAGAGUAAAGACUAUAGGAAGAAGAUUUCAGAGAUUGAGGCAAAAGAUAAAGACAGAAAAGAGGUCUCAAAGGCGACAAACAAUUCAACAAGAUGAUUAUCAGUUCUCUCAACAUCAUAGGUGGAAACAACAAACAAAACCGCAUGAGAACCAGUCAGGCAUGGCUUCAAGUAAAGCUGAGAUUUUUUUUCAUUCAAGAAACAAAGCUCAAGUGAGUAUCACAGACCCUGCUUGAAGGAGUUAUCUCAAUUGGAGGAGAAGUCUUAGAAGGAAAACAAAAGAAGGAAAGGAAGGAGUAGUGUGGUUGGCGACUCUUUGGAGCAUUUGGGCACACAUGAACAUCAUUUUACUUAACAUAUUGGUUUAUAACAUCCCAUAUUUGAUGUGAAUGAAUGCUAAAAUGCAAUAUACUUGCUCUUUUACUUUUUCUCUUGUAUGCGCCUGUGUUUAGCUAACAAUAACUAUUAUCACAAUAACAUGUUGCCAUUCCUUAUCAAUUUUGAUCUUUUACUUUAUUUUCAA